GAUUUGAACUGACCUUAAAUAAAGAACUGCUCCUUUUGUUUUCAGUGGGCUACUGCUGCAGUGAAUUAACCAGGAGUAAGGGCAAAGUGAAGAAAGAAUGGAGCAGAACCCAUCUCAAAUGACAUUUAAACAAGAAGAAAACAACUCCCUGCUGGAUAUAUAGCUGGUCUGUUGGAUGGAAACUGAAAGACACUGAAUCCUGUCAACAGCCAGACCAGGCAGGCAGAAGAAAAGCAAUGCUCUGUGCACGCAAGGGCAAAUGGCUUUCCAGUGGUGCAUGAAGAAAACAAAAAAAGUCUUACAUCUGCAACUGUGUUUUGUGGCUGGAGUGGUUGAGACUCCCUUGUCACAGCUCUCCUCUGGACAGAUAACAGCCCACGUAUCAACAAAGAAAAUAGAGCGUCUGGAUGAUGUGGAACUGCUACAGACACAAAUGUCUGUGUUUAGGCUGAGACACUCAUUCUGCCCAGAAAACAAAGGGAGAGAAGAGAUCAGUUUUUUGGCUCACAGUUUAGUUCUUUUCUGCAUGUUUUCCUCGGUCCUCCCACCAACUCCCUCAUUGUCUGAGCAGUCCUCAGCAUGUGAUAACUGUUAUCAGGUGAACUCCAGUGACCUUCCUGCUAAUUGUUUUUACAUGACAGAUUAAUAUUCCCAUUGGAUAUCUUAAAGAACAGAUCAUAAAUCAGAAAAGUCAGGACUGGGAAAAGGCUUUUGGGUCAUCCUCUCCACCUCUCCCUGCAAUAAGCAUUGUAAUUAAAAAGAAAAAAGAACAAAAAAUGCUAUCAUUUUUGUAGCCUAAUGUGUGAUUGUAAAAGAAAAUGGAGGUGCUCUGAAGUGCAAAUCCUGCAAGUGACUACAGAUGAACUACCUGAUGGGUUUCCUCAUUUAUUUACCAGUUAUUUCCUUCCAGUUUUUUUACUGCUUCUGUAACCAUAAAAAAUAACUUUCUGCUGACUGUGAUGGUUCUUCUGCUGUGUUCUAGCUUACUCUUACAGUGUUUGCCUCUGACAUUCACUGUCUGUUGCAGCAUACAGUCAUUUGCAGUUUCAGCCCCAGAACACAACAGAAAUUCCCAAUUCUCCUGUCCACAGUGCCCAGGCAAUCAC
rnacentral:lncRNA from 1 species